GCGGCAGGCCUAAUACAUGCAAGUCGAGGGGUAGAGAGAGCUUGCUUUCUUGAGACCGGCGCACGGGUGCGUAACGCGUAUGCAACCUACCUUUAUCUGGGGGAUAGCCCGGAGAAAUCCGGAUUAAUACCGCAUAAAAUCACAGAAUAGCAUUAUUUAAUGAUCAAACAUUUAUGGGAUGAAGAUGGGCAUGCGUGUCAUUAGCUAGUUGGCGGGGUAACGGCCCACCAAGGCGACGAUGACUAGGGGAUCUGAGAGGAUGGCCCCCCACACUGGUACUGAGACACGGGCCAGACUCCUACGGGAGGCAGCAGUAAGGAAUAUUGGUCAAUGGAGGCAACUCUGAACCAGCCAUGCCGCGUGCAGGAAGACUGCCCUAUGGGUUGUAAACUGCUUUUAUCCGGGAGUAAACCUUUCUACGUGUAGGAAGCUGAAUGUACCGGAAGAAUAAGGAUCGGCUAACUCCGUGCCAGCAGCCGCGGUAAUACGGAGGAUCCAAGCGUUAUCCGGAUUUAUUGGGUUUAAAGGGUGCGUAGGCGGCCUGUUAAGUCAGGGGUGAAAGACGGUAGCUCAACUAUCGCAGUGCCCUUGAUACUGAUGGGCUUGAAUGGACUAGAGGUAGGCGGAAUGAGACAAGUAGCGGUGAAAUGCAUAGAUAUGUCUCAGAACACCGAUUGCGAAGGCAGCUUACUAUGGUCUUAUUGACGCUGAGGCACGAAAGCGUGGGGAUCAAACAGGAUUAGAUACCCUGGUAGUCCACGCCCUAAACGAUGAACACUCGCUGUUGGCGAUACACAGUCAGCGGCUAAGCGAAAGCGUUAAGUGUUCCACCUGGGGAGUACGCCCGCAAGGGUGAAACUCAAAGGAAUUGACGGGGGCCCGCACAAGCGGAGGAGCAUGUGGUUUAAUUCGAUGAUACGCGAGGAACCUUACCCGGGCUUGAAAGUUAGUGAAUGAUCUAGAGAUAGAUCAGUGAGCAAUCACACGAAACUAGGUGCUGCAUGGCUGUCGUCAGCUCGUGCCGUGAGGUGUUGGGUUAAGUCCCGCAACGAGCGCAACCCCUAUGUUUAGUUGCCAGCAUGUAAUGAUGGGGACUCUAAACAGACUGCCUGUGCAAACAGAGAGGAAGGAGGGGACGACGUCAAGUCAUCAUGGCCCUUACGUCCGGGGCUACACACGUGCUACAAUGGAUGGUACAGAGGGCAGCUAGCUGGCAACAGUAUGCGAAUCUCACAAAGCCAUUCACAGUUCGGAUUGGGGUCUGCAACUCGACCCCAUGAAGUUGGAUUCGCUAGUAAUCGCGUAUCAGCAAUGACGCGGUGAAUACGUUCCCGGGCCUUGUACACACCGCCGUCAAGCCAUGGAAGUUGGGGGUACCUAAAGUAUGUAACCGCAAGGAGCGUCCUAGGGUAAAACCGAUAA
rnacentral:rRNA from 1 species